rnacentral:tRNA from 1 species
GGGGAUGUGGCGGAACUGGCAGACGCGCUAGACUAAGGAUCUAGUGGGGUAAAACCCGUGGAGGUUCGAGUCCUCUCGUCCCCA